rnacentral:siRNA from 1 species
UUGAUUUCUGAUCUGCCAAUCGC